rnacentral:lncRNA from 1 species
UCAAUAACAAUGACUUAUUCUGUUUCUUGCAGUUUCUUUUUUGUCACCCUUCUUUAUAAUUUCACUCAAUACAGUAUAAACACGUGGAUUAAUAAGAAUCUAAUGCCUGAUGAGUUUGAUGAACAAAAAAUAUAACUGCAUUUUAAAAAGUAGGUUGCUGUUUUGGAAUCUGCCAUUUGUCAUUCCCACCCCAUGGCCCCUGCUUAAAAUUGUAAAGGCUUUGUACAAUUAGAUCAGCUUCUCAACAGUGGCACUGUUGAUGUUUUGAGUUGGAUGAGUUUUUGUAAUAGGGGUUUUCCUGUGUGUUAUAAAAUGUUCAGUAGCAUCCCUGGCCUCUAGUCACUAAAUGCCACUGGCACCUUCUUCUAGUUUUAAGAACAAAAAAUGUUUCCUUGGGGACAAAAUUGCCCCCAGUCGAGAACCACUUAUUGGAUCAUAUGUUAUUGCUAAUGAUGUUGCAAAGUUCUAAGGAAAUUAAUUUAGAACAAAUUUUGGGCACAUUAGUUAUUCAUCUGCAUUUCAUGAGUUUGACAACUACCUAAUGAUGGACUUUAGAUGAAUCAUUGAAAAGUUCAGUAGGCUUUAACUUUUUUUUUUUUUUCCUUUUCCAUAUCAUCCUCUAGUGAUUAUUUGGCUUCUGAGAUUAUUGGUAGUAGCAUUCAGGACAGACUAUGUUAUGCUGUGAUUAACAACUUAAAAAUCUUGGGGUCUUAUACUAACAAAGAAAUAUUUCUUGUUUGCUACAGUUUGCAAGUUGGCUGGGCUGUACUCCAUGAUUCUACACUCGAGUGCCCAAACUAUUGGCAUUAUCACCCUCAGACUUCUUUAGAAGAGAACAUUCUGGAAGGUCUCACUUCAGCAAACAAAUCUGGCUUAGAAGAAACACAUCUCAUUUCCAUUCAUUUGUAGCAGUCAAUCACAUGGCCUUGCACAAAUAGGAAAAGGCCCAGAAGAGCAAUCCUUCCGUGUGAUCUGAAGUGAGGGAGCUGGAAUAUUUGAUGAACAUUAUUAAGCAUUGUCACAUGUGCUGGAAAUAGUGGCAUUUGGGAUCAGACUUGCAUCUACAUCUUGACCUUGGUGUUUACUAACAAAUCUUUCAGAGAUCUAGUUGGCUUGUUAUAAAAUAGGAAUGAUAAUAUUUUCCUAGUAAAAGAACUAAUGAUAAAUAGGGAAGUUUAGGUAAUCCAUCUAACAUUUUAGUAUUUUCUCUAUGUGAUGUUUGUGAGAAUAAUGUUUAUUAUUUGGGUGUUUUUGUUUUUUUUUUUUUUUUUUGGCCUAAAUGCCACUAGGAGGGAGGCAGAACCAUAAUAGGACAUUAAUCUCUUUUGGAAAACUGAAACUGUCAAGGUGGUUCAUAAAGCAGCGCCUUGAGAUGCUAGAAAGAGGUGGGGCUUCAUUAUGGCCAUUGGUAGUCAGCACAAAGGAAUUUUCAGUAGCUAGUCUGAUAUGAGACCAAGGAAGUACCAAGGAGUAUCUGAUAAAAUAUGGCAAACAUUCUUAUGGCAUAUUUUGUUUGGCUUGUGUAGUGAUUAAAAAGGAAAAAAAAAAAUUAGUAGGUAGCAUUUAAGAACAGGGGAUUUCACUCAAAAGUCCAUAUUUCUAGCUUCUCAAAAAAAUUAAAAAAUAUUUUCUCAUAGCAACACUCAGCAGGAGUUGAGUACUUGUGGUCUGCUUUGGAUGGGACGUGUGUUGUUUCUGUUUACCCACAAUCAUCUCAUGGUCUACAAACAUAUUUUUUGUCUUAAGUAAAAAAUGCCCAAUUCCCCAGUCAUAAUCUUGACAUUGUCUUAUACAGUUUCCCCUAUGUUCCCUGUUUUGGUUUAUUCCUUGAUAAUUAGACUUUGUAUGUGUUUAGCUAUCUUAUUGGUCUUGGUUUUAUCUCAGUGUUCAAUUUUCUAAUCUAUUCAUUGCUACUUUUUAUUUUGAUUGGCUUCUUCUAGUUUCUAUGUGUUUAGUAUUUGGUACAUAUUUCUAAAAAACAUAGUGUGCAUUUUUUAAGUAGAAUCUUGAGAAUUUCCUGUAGACAAGGUAAUUAAAUGCUGGUCUGUAAGCUAGUCUCAUUGGCAAAAAACCAAAAUUUAGUAUAUGAUGGUAAGUUUUCAUGAGGCAUAUUUCAAUUUAAAUUUACUCAUAGGUUAUGUUCUUUAGCAGAGGGAUUUAAAAUGUUCCUUCUUUUAUGAAAUUAUACUGGUAGUAAUUGGGAGUGUAGUUUUUGAAAUGACCUUACUUAGCAAAAUUAAAAGUUGAUAACUGUAUUUCCCAUGAGUCAUUUCCUGUUUUUAAAGUCUGAACCACUAAUAGAUUUCCAAUCUCAUAGCCAACAUAAGGAUUCUUUAUGUAACAUUUCUGACAGAUGCUCACCUACCUGCCGUUUGAACCCCUUUAAUAAGAGUGCAAUUGGAUAUCUAAGGAAUAAGUCAAAGCAGUAAUGUAUAAAGAAGGGGAUAGUGACACAAAGGUGGCAGAUCUUUGGUGUAGUGGGCAUGUUAGCACCUUGUUUUGCCAGAGGUAGUGCUUACACACUCUAAGAGUGGAGAUCUUGAUUUAAUUGUAUAUAUAAGAUUAUACAAGAAAAAGCGUAACUACCUCUUAUUGAGCAUUUUGUGCCAGCCAGUGUGCUUUAGUAUGUGGGCUUAUGUGCUCUUCACAGAAAGCAGGGGUUGGCAUUUUCAACCCUAUUUUAUAGAUAAGGAAAUGAGACUUAAAGAGAUUGAGAAUUACUAACUUGAGCCACAUGGCUAGUCAGGGUAAGUCUAACCCUAGAAGUCAGGCCUUUGAAAUUCCAAAGUCUUAAAAAUCAAACGUUCUGUUUCCAUAUUUUAAAAAAAAGGGGGGAAUCAAGAGAAACCAAAUUCCCUUCUUUAUUACAGGACAGAGAAUUUCUACAUCAGUUUUCGAGUACAUGAAGCAUCUGCUUAUUUGAAAACUUUUGCCCCAAGUCUCAGACCACACUUUAAUCACAAAAUAAGCUUGCCAAAACAAAUCAAGUAAGUACAUUGGUCUCUACCAUAACCCAUAUUUGUGAACUCCUGUUCUUCAUGAAGUUUUCCAGCUUUUAAAAUCCUUUAAUUUGUCACAGGGGCCCUGGUUAUUUUCAGAAUUAGCCAGGUUCUUUUGUAUUAUAGAGUGUUAAUAAAUGAAACAAGCCUUCUCUGUGUUAUUAAAAUUAAUGAAUGUUUUAACUUUAAAGUCUUUGAGGUUCUAGAAUGCUAUGUAUUUUCACAUUCUCACAGUAUUUUCUAUUUCCAAAGUAGUUUAUAAUCAUUACUUAGCUAUUUUCCAUGCAAUCUCAAAGGAAUAGAUUGCUAUUCUUUCUUGUUGUUUCAUUGAUGAGAAGGGAGAUAUAGCCAGUUUGACUGAUUGACGUAAGUUUACAUGAUAAGUCACUGUCUGGGUUAGCAUCCAAUUUUAGGUUCCUAGUUCUGUGCUAAGUUCACAGGCUAUUGUUAUCUCAAAAGUGGCGAUCUUUCAAUUUUCC